UGGGGAAUUUUGGACAAUGGGCGAAAGCCUGAUCCAGCAAUGCCGCGUGUGUGAAGAAGGCCUUCGGGUUGUAAAGCACUUUUGUCCGGAAAGAAAUCCUUGGCUCUAAUACAGUCGGGGGAUGACGGUACCGGAAGAAUAAGCACCGGCUAACUACGUGCCAGCAGCCGCGGUAAUACGUAGGGUGCAAGCAUUAAUCGGAAUUACUGGGCGUAAAGCGUGCGCAGGCGGUUUGCUAAGACCGAUGUGAAAUCCCCGGGCUCAACCUGGGAACUGCAUUGGUGACUGGCAGGCUAGAGUAUGGCAGAGGGGGGUAGAAUUCCACGUGUAGCAGUGAAAUGCGUAGAGAUGUGGAGGAAUACCGAUGGCGAAGGCAGCCCCCUGGGCCAAUACUGACGCUCAUGCACGAAAGCGUGGGGAGCAAACAGGAUUAGAUACCCUGGUAGUCCACGCCCUAAACGAUGUCAACUAGUUGUUGGGGAUUCAUUUCCUUAGUAACGUAGCUAACGCGUGAAGUUGACCGCCUGGGGAGUACGGUCGCAAGAUUAAAACUCAAAUGAAUUGACGGGGUCAUAGCUGUUUCCU
rnacentral:rRNA from 1 species